rnacentral:rRNA from 1 species
GAUGAACGCUGGCGGCGUGCCUAAUACAUGCAAGUCGAGCGAACGGACGAGAAGCUUGCUUCUCUGAUGUUAGCGGCGGACGGGUGAGUAACACGUGGAUAACCUACCUAUAAGACUGGGAUAACUUCGGGAAACCGGAGCUAAUACCGGAUAAUAUUUUGAACCGCAUGGUUCAAAAGUGAAAGACGGUCUUGCUGUCACUUAUAGAUGGAUCCGCGCUGCAUUAGCUAGUUGGUAAGGUAACGGCUUACCAAGGCAACGAUGCAUAGCCGACCUGAGAGGGUGAUCGGCCACACUGGAACUGAGACACGGUCCAGACUCCUACGGGAGGCAGCAGUAGGGAAUCUUCCGCAAUGGGCGAAAGCCUGACGGAGCAACGCCGCGUGAGUGAGGAAGGUCUUCGGAUCUUAAAACUCUGUUAUUAGGGAAGAACAUAUGUGUAAUUAACUGUGCACAUCGUGACGGUACCUAAUCAGAAAGCCACGGCUAACUACGUG